rnacentral:rRNA from 1 species
GACGAACGCUGGCGGCGUGCUUAACACAUGCAAGUCGAACGGAAAGGCCCUGCUUUUGUGGGGUGCUCGAGUGGCGAACGGGUGAGUAACACGUGAGUAACCUGCCCUUGACUUUGGGAUAACUUCAGGAAACUGGGGCUAAUACCGGAUAGGAGCUCCUGCUGCAUGGUGGGGGUUGGAAAGUUUCGGCGGUUGGGGAUGAACUCGCGGCUUAUCAGCUUGUUGGUGGGGUAGUGGCUUACCAAGGCUUUGACGGGUAGCCGGCCUGAGAGGGUGACCGGCCACAUUGGGACUGAGAUACGGCCCAGACUCCUACGGGAGGCAGCAGUGGGGAAUAUUGCACAAUGGGCGGAAGCCUGAUGCAGCAACGCCGCGUGCGGGAUGACGGCCUUCGGGUUGUAAACCGCUUUCGCCUGUGACGAAGCGUGAGUGACGGUAAUGGGGAAAGAAGCACCGGCUAACUACGU